rnacentral:rRNA from 1 species
GAUGAACGCUGGCGGCGUGCCUAAUACAUGCAAGUCGAGCGAACAGACGAGGAGCUUGCUCCUUCGACGUUAGCGGCGGACGGGUGAGUAACACGUAGGUAACCUACCUAUAAGACUGGGAUAACUUCGGGAAACCGGAGCUAAUACCGGAUAAUAUUUCGAACCGCAUGGUUCGAUAGUGAAAGAUGGCUUUGCUAUCACUUAUAGAUGGACCUGCGCCGUAUUAGCUAGUUGGUAAGGUAACGGCUUACCAAGGCAACGAUACGUAGCCGACCUGAGAGGGUGAUCGGCCACACGGGAACUGAGACACGGUCCAGACUCCUACGGGAGGCGGCAGUAGGGAAUCUUCCGCAAUGGGCGAAAGCCUGACGGAGCAACGCCGCGUGAGUGAUGAAGGUCUUCGGAUCGUAAAACUCUGUUAUUAGGGAAGAACAAACGUGUAAGUAACUGUGCACGUCUUGACGGUACCUAAUCAGAAAGCCACGGCUAACUACGUG